rnacentral:rRNA from 1 species
AAAAAUCCGGAAAAUCAAGGCUGAGGCGUGAUGACGAGGCACUACGGUGCUGAAGCAACAAAUGCCCUGCUUCCAGGAAAAGCCUCUAAGCAUCAGGUAACAUCAAAUCGUACCCCAAACCGACACAGGUGGUCAGGUAGAGAAUACCAAGGCGCUUGAGAGAACUCGGGUGAAGGAACUAGGCAAAAUGGUGCCGUAACUUCGGGAGAAGGCACGCUGAUAUGUAGGUGAGGUCCCUCGCGGAUGGAGCUGAAAUCAGUCGAAGAUACCAGCUGGCUGCAACUGUCUAUUAAAAACACAGCACUGUGCAAACACGAAAGUGGACGUAUACGGUGUGACGCCUGCCCGGUGCCGGAAGGUUAAUUGAUGGGGUUAGCGCAAGCGAAGCUCUUGAUCGAAGCCCCGGUAAACGGCGGCCGUAACGAUAACGGUCCUAAGGUAGCGAAAUUCCUUGUCGGGUAAGUUCCGACCUGCACGAAUGGCGUAAUGAUGGCCAGGCUGUCUCCACCCGAGACUCAGUGAAAUUGAACUCGCUGUGAAGAUGCAGUGUACCCGCGGCAAGACGGAAAGACCCCGUGAACCUUUACUAUAGCUUGACACUGAACAUUGAGCCUUGAUGUGUAGGAUAGGUGGGAGGCUUUGAAGUGUGGACGCCAGUCUGCAUGGAGCCGACCUUGAAAUACCACCCUUUAAUGUUUGAUGUUCUAACGUUGACCCGUAAUCCGGGUUGCGGACAGUGUCUGGUGGGUAGUUUGACUGGGGCGGCCUCCUCCUAAAGAGUAACGGAGGAGCACGAAGGUUGGCUAAUCCUGGUCGGACAUCAGGAGGUUAGUGCAAUGGCAUAAGCCAGCUUGACUGCGAGCGUGACGGCGCGAGCAGGUGCGAAAGCAGGUCAUAGUGAUCCGGUGGUUCUGAAUGGAAGGGCCAUCGCUCAACGGAUAAAAGGUACUCCGGGGAUAACAGGCUGAUACCGCCCAAGAGUUCAUAUCGACGGCGGUGUUUGGCACCUCGAUGUCGGCUCAUCACAUCCUGGGGCUGAAGUAGGUCCCAAGGGUAUGGCUGUUCGCCAUUUAAAGUGGUACGCGAGCUGGGUUUAGAACGUCGUGAGACAGUUCGGUCCCUAUCUGCCGUGGGCGCUGGAGAACUGAGGGGGGCUGCUCCUAGUACGAGAGGACCGGAGUGGACGCAUCACUGGUGUUCGGGUUGUCAUGCCAAUGGCACUGCCCGGUAGCUAAAUGCGGAAGAGGUAAGUGCUGAAAGCAUCUAAGCACGAAACUUGCCCCGAGAUGAGUUCUCCCUGACUCCUUGAGAGUCCUGAAGGAACGUUGAAGACGACGACGUUGAUAGGCCGGGUGUGUAAGCGCAGCGAUGCGUUGAGCUAACCGGUACUAAUGAACC